UACCCCACAGAGAGUAAUCCUUCCUCAUCUGCUGCCCUCACCUUCUCUGAUCAAUCCUACAGACUCUUCCUUGAAUGAGAAGAACUGCAACACAUAUAAACUCCAGAUGUAAGAGUGAAGUUGGGCCCCUCUGUCAAACAAUGCUGGGAAGAAAAAGCACCCCCUGAACCAACCUGACCUGCCUCAGGUGAGGAUGACUCCUGUGGACCAGCCUCAUGCUCAUCAGUCUAGCAGAAGUGGAGCUCCAAGGCCUUCAAAAUCUGCCUUUGCUAAUUCAAAGUUUCCUCAAGGUGCUAAAGUCAGUCAGAAAUUCAAAGUGACAAGCAUCAAAACCAGUGCAAGCUACUCCUGGGGAGAUCCCAAUUGGACAUCAGAAGAAAAUUUUUCACUAUGAAGACAGUUGGACAUUGGAAUAAUUUCCCCAGGGAAGUGGUAGAUUCCCCAACACUGAACAUUUUUAAGGCUCAGCUUGACAAGGUGAUGGGCAAUCACAUCUAAAUAAAGUUCUUACCUAGAAUCUUUGGACUGAAUGAUCCUUGAGGCCCCUUCCAACCUGGCAUUCUAGGAUUCUAUGAAUCACACAGCACUGGGGGAGGAGGAGUUCCCUUAACUUACAAAGAUGUAGUGACACCAAUUUAUGCCUGAAUGCAAAUCAAAGGCUCUGUAGCUCAGCUAGUGGAAGAACAUCUGGUUGUAUCACUGCUUAAGGAAUUU